UUCUCUCUCUCUCUCUCUCGCGAACCAGAAACCCCCUCCCUUUUUAUUUUUUUGGCUUGCGACGACAGCAACUUCUCACCGUCGCCACCACCACCACACACCGCCACUUGGGGCGGCACCGGUCCCGUUAGAACCGCCCCACUUCCCUCUUCAAUUCCAGACCGGUCCCAGCCUCGAUCCGUCGUCGUGGUCGCCAGAAUCAGCCACGAAAUGAGGCUGUUUUGACAGUUUUUCAACAAACUUUCGGCCUCUCGUUCUCUCUCAUUUCUCCACCAAAUUUGACGAGUAAGGUACUUCGACCACGCAUACGCAGCAGGCGGGACCCUCUCAGGGUCAGGCAGUGUGGGACUACUUCCAGUAGUUGACUGUGCUCCGCAGCUGAGCUGGAUCGUGUGCUUACAAGCCUUGAGCCUUCGUAGGACUCCUUCAUUCUUUUUCCCUUGAACUUUGUUUUUGUUGUAUUUGAAUUCUUUAGAUAUGCUCUGUUAUUGCCCUUGCUAGGGUUUGAUCUUUGAGGCCAGAGGCCUUUGUUGUAAACUGUUUAUUUGCUUUAAAGCAUGUUGCUGGUUGGGUACCUUAAACUGUGAAUUUUGAGCAGGUUG